AUCGAACGCUGGCGGCAUGCCUAACACAUGCAAGUCGAACGGCAGCCCAGUCAAGACUUCGGUCUUUAUGGGUGGCGAGUGGCGGCCGGGCGCGUAACGCGUAGGAAUCUGUCCUGGAGAGCGGGAUAACCCGAGGCAACUCCGGAUAAUACCGCAUGAUAUCGAGAGAUCAACGGCAGGGGACCCUUCGGGGCCUUGCGCUCUAGGUUGAGCCUACGUCGGAUUAGCUAGUUGGUGGGGUAAAGGCCUACCAAGGCGACGAUCCGUAGCUGGUCUGAGAGGAUGACCAGCCACACUGGGACGGAGACACGGCCCAGACUCCUACGGGAGGCAGCAGUGGGGAAUCUUGGACAAUGGGGGAAACCCUGAUCCAGCGAUGCCGCGUGUGUGAAGAAGGCCUUCGGGUUGUAAAGCACUUUAGGUGGGGAAGAAAGGUAAUGAGUGAAUAACUGAUUGCUUUGACGGUACCCGCAGAAUAAGCACCGGCUAACUCUGUGCCAGCAGCCGCCGUAA
rnacentral:rRNA from 1 species